AGCGAACGCUGGCGGCAGGCCUAACACAUGCAAGUCGAACGGACCCUUCGGGGUUAGUGGCGGACGGGUGAGUAACACGUGGGAACGUGCCUUUAGGUUCGGAAUAGCUCCUGGAAACGGGUGGUAAUGCCGAAUGUGCCCUUUGGGGGAAAGAUUUAUCGCCUUUAGAGCGGCCCGCGUCUGAUUAGCUAGUUGGUGAGGUAAUGGCUCACCAAGGCGACGAUCAGUAGCUGGUCUGAGAGGAUGACCAGCCACAUUGGGGCUGAGACACGGCCCAAACUCCUACGGGAGGCAGCAGGGGGGAAUCUUGCGCAAUGGGCGAAAGCCUGACGCAGCCAUGCCGCGUGGAUGAUGAAGGUCUUAGGAUUGUAAAGCUCUUUCGCCGACGAAGAUAAUGACGGUAGUCGGAGAAGAAGCCCCGGCUAACUUCGUGCCAGCCGCCGCCGUAAGAC
rnacentral:rRNA from 1 species